rnacentral:rRNA from 1 species
GCGGCAAAAGCUCAAAUUUGAAACCCUCGGGAUUGUAAUUUGAAGAUUUGGCAUUGGAGAAAGCUAACCCAAGUUGCUUGGAAUAGUACGUCAUAGAGGGUGACAACCCCGUCUGGCUAACCGUUCUCCAUGUAUUGCCUUAUCAAAGAGUCGAGUUGUUUGGGAAUGCAGCUCAAAGUGGGUGGUAAACUCCAUCUAAAGCUAAAUACUGGUGAGAGACCGAUAGCGAACAAGUACUGUGAAGGAAAGGUGAAAAGAACUUUGAAAAGAGAGUGAAAUAGUAUGUGAAAUUGUUGAUAGGGAAGGAAAUGAGUGGAGAGUGGCCGAGGUUUCAGCCGCCCCUCGUGGGCGGUGUACUGCCGACGCCGAGUCAUCGAUAGCGAGACGAGGGUUACAAAUGGGAGCGCCUUCGGGCGUUCUCCCCUAACCCUCCACACUGCCACCGACGACAUAAUCCACCCAUUUCACCCGUCUU